AGCAGUAGCCACGGGAAUACGAAGGGGGCUAGCGUUGCUCGGAAUGACUGGGCGUAAAGGGCGCGUAGGCGGUUUUGACAGUCAGAUGUGAAAUUCCUGGGCUUAACCUGGGGGUUGCAUUUGAGACGUCAAGACUAGAGUGUGAGAGAGGGUUGUGGAAUUCCCAGUGUAGAGGUGAAAUUCGUAGAUAUUGGGAAGAACACCGGUGGCGAAGGCGGCAACCUGGCUCAUUACUGACGCUGAGGCGCGAAAGCGUGGGGAGCAAACAGGAUUAGAUACCCGUGUAGUCCCUGUCUCUUAUAU
rnacentral:rRNA from 1 species